GAAAUGGGUUGUUGGCGCUACCUCGCUUUGCCGUCGUAUAUCUUCUAGCCCGUUUUAAAUGUAUAAUAAAUACAUGUCUCUUUGUCGCUCUCAUUAAAGGCCCAAACCAACCAUGAGAAAUUUCUCAAUCGGUAUACAUAUAAGAAUUGAAUAGCAUAAUCGCUGUGAGAUAAAAUAUGCAGGGUACAACAAAAAGGCAGGUCAUAAAUUACAUUACAUAUUCUGGGACCAAAAAUAGUUCGAUUGAAUCUAACUUACCUUAGUACAAAACAAGAAUCUACAGGUCGAGCAAGUCUCGUAAAUUUCACGAUUGCGAGCCACGCUUCACGCAACCGUGUUUGCGUACUUGUAUUUCGAGUUGCGUGGUCGUGCGGAGCUAUAUUUACCAAAUUAAUCGUUUCUACUGAUUCAUAAUAAUUAAAUCAAUAUGUCAAUAUGGCUACUGGGUGUAAAAGAUAAAUUUAUUCUAUCUGUUCUUAAUGAGUUUUAGAUAAUUUUAGUUGUAUUUCUUUGUAAUUUUGUGUUGUACAAAGAUUAAUUUAACAUUUUCUCUGGAAGUAUUAAUUUAGAAAGAUAAUAUUAUGCUUCAUUGGUGUUGUGUUUUGAAGUGUGAAAUGCAAAGUAUGUAAUUGUGAUAAAGUCAAGAUAAAGUUCACUUUUAAACUGAACUAAAGAAGGUAUCUGAGAGACAACAAUGGUUAAAUGCAAUACAAUGUACAGGUUUUGCUAGCGAAAUGAAAAUUUUCCUGUCCUGUCUGCUGUAAUCAUUUUAUAUCUGGAAAACCAGCCGACUUAAUCGAUAAUAUCAAUCUCCAGAUUGGGUUCCUUCAAUAAAUAUGGGCUAUAAACACAAUGAAAUAAGUUCCCCAAAAUCUAAAAUGGAGUGGUAUCAAAGGAGAAUUAAAGGGAAAAAUAUUCAUAUUGAAAUUAUUUAUAAGGCACUGGACUGUCUUAAAUUCUACAAUAAUACUAGAAUCAGCUGAGAGAAGUGGUCUACAAAAAACCAGGAAGGAAACGGAAUAUGUGGCUACGAAAGGCAAAAGAAAGGUUUACAAAGCAAAUGUGACACAUUUUUUUGAAAUAUUUAGGAAUAUCAGUAAAUUGCAUUAAAAAAAUGUAUGAAAAGAUUUUGUUCAAUAAAAAUGUUUAUAAGUA